ACGCUGGCGGCGUGGAUAAGACAUGCAAGUCGGGCUAUGAUGCGACUGAUGGUAACAUUGAAGUCAAAUAGCGGCGAACGGGUGAGUAACACGUAAGAAUCUGCCCAGAAGACGGUGAUAACCCAAGGAAACUCGGGAUAAUAACCGAUGUGGAGGCAACUCUAAAGGUGGCCGCCGCUUCUGGAUGAGCUUGCGGUCCAUCAGCUUGUUGGUGAGGUAACGGCUCACCAAGGCAAUGACGGAUAGCUGGUCUGAGAGGAUGGUCAGCCACACUGGAACUGAGACACGGUCCAGACACCUACGGGUGGCAGCAGUCGAGAAUCUUGGUCAAUGGGGGAAACCCUGAACCAGCGACGCCGCGUGGGGGAUGAAGGCCUUCGGGUCGUAAACCCCUGUCAGCUGUGAGUAAGGCCCAGCUUCGGUUGGGAUUGAUAUUAGCAGCAAAGGAAGGGGCGGCUAACUCCGUGCCAGCAGCCGCGGUAAUACGGAGGCCCCAAGCGUUGUUCGGAUUUACUGGGCGUAAAGCGUGAGUAGGCGGCAAGGCAAGUUUGACGUGAAAGCCCCGGGCCCAACCCGGGAACGGCGUUGAAAACUGCCUGGCUAGAGGACCGGAGAGGAGUCUGGAAUUCCCGGUGUAGCAGUGAAAUGCGUAGAUAUCGGGAGGAACAUCAGUGGCGAAGGCGAGACUCUGGACGGUUCCUGACGCUGAGGUACGAAGGCCAGGGGAGCGAACGGGAUUAGAUACCCCGGUAGUCCUGGCAGUAAACGGUGCGCACUUGCUGUGGGCGGACUCGACCCCGUCCGUAGCGGAGCUAACGCGUUAAGUGCGCCGCCUGGGGAGUACGGCCGCAAGUUACU
rnacentral:rRNA from 1 species